rnacentral:rRNA from 1 species
AUUGAACGCUGGCGGCAUGCCUUACACAUGCAAGUCGAACGGCAGCACGGGUGCUUGCACCUGGUGGCGAGUGGCGAACGGGUGAGUAAUACAUCGGAACAUGUCCUGUAGUGGGGGAUAGCCCGGCGAAAGCCGGAUUAAUACCGCAUACGAUCUACGGAUGAAAGCGGGGGACCUUCGGGCCUCGCGCUAUAGGGUUGGCCGAUGGCUGAUUAGCUAGUUGGUGGGGUAAAUGCCUACCAAGGCGACGAUCAGUAGCUGGUCUGAGAGGACGACCAGCCACACUGGGACUGAGACACGGCCCAGACUCCUACGGGAGGCAGCAGUGGGGAAUUUUGGACAAUGGGCGAAAGCCUGAUCCAGCAAUGCCGCGUGUGUGAAGAAGGCCUUCGGGUUGUAAAGCACUUUUGUCCGGAAAGAAAUCCUUGGCCCUAAUACGGUCGGGGGAUGACGGUACCGGAAGAAUAAGCACCGGCUAACUACGUG